CACGUAGGGCGCAAGCGUUGUCCGGAAUUAUUGGGCGUAAAGAGCUCGUAGGCGGUCUGUUGCGUCUGCUGUGAAAACCCGGGGCUUAACCCCGAGCCUGCAGUGGAUACGGGCAGACUAGAGGUAGGUAGGGGAGAAUGGAAUUCCCGGUGUAGCGGUGAAAUGCGCAGAUAUCGGGAGGAACACCGGUGGCGAAGGCGGUUCUCUGGGCCUUACCUGACGCUGAGGAGCGAAAGCGUGGGGAGCGAACAGG
rnacentral:rRNA from 1 species